UGAGGAAUAUUGGUCAAUGGGGGCAACCCUGAACCAGCCAAGUCGCGUGAAGGAUGAAGGUCUUAUGGAUUGUAAACUUCUUUUAUACAGGAAUAAAUUGGGGGACGUGUCCCCUUUUGCAUGUACUGUAUGAAUAAGGAUCGGCUAACUCCGUGCCAGCAGCCGCGGUAAUACGGAGGAUCCGAGCGUUAUCCGGAUUUAUUGGGUUUAAAGGGUGCGCAGGCGGGAUGUUAAGUCGGCGGUGAAAUUUUGCAGCUCAACUGUAAAAGUGCCUUCGAUACUGGCUUCCUUGAGUGUAGAUGAAGUAGGCGGAAUUUGUGAUGUAGCGGUGAAAUGCUUAGAUAUCACGAGGAACUCCGAUUGCGCAGGCAGCUUACUAAACUACAACUGACGCUCAUGCACGAAGGCGUGGGGAUCAAACA
rnacentral:rRNA from 1 species